rnacentral:rRNA from 1 species
GAUGAACGCUGGCGGCGUGCCUAAUACAUGCAAGUCGAGCGAACAGACGAGGAGCUUGCUCCUCUGACGUUAGCGGCGGACGGGUGAGUAACACGUGGAUAACCUACCUAUAAGACUGGGUUAACUUCGGGAAACCGGAGCUAAUACCGGAUAAUAUAUUGAACCGCAUGGUUCAAUAGUGAAAGACGGUUUUGCUGUCACUUAUAGAUGGAUCCGCGCCUCAUUAGCUAGUUGGUAAGGUAACGGCUUACCAAGGCGACGAUGCGUAGCCGACCUGAGAGGGUGAUCGGCCACACUGGAACUGAGACACGGUCCAGACUCCUACGGGAGGCAGCAGUAGGGAAUCUUACGCAAUGGGCGAAAGCAUGACGGAGCAACGCCGCGUGAGUGAUGAAGGUCUUCGGAUCGUAAAACUCUGUUAUUAGGGAAGAACAAAUGUGUAAGUAACUAUGCACGUCUUGACGGUACCUAAUCAGAAAGCCACGGCUAACUACGUG